CUUUGCCAUUUUCUCGCAUUUGAUAAGAACAUAUUUUGAAAAAAAUGUGUUUUUCAUUCCCUGUUUAUAUUGUGUAGACGGCGGCCCAUACUUGCAUUUGUGACGUCACAAUGAAAAGUUAAAAUGGCGGACAAUUUUCGAAAAUGUAUCUGGCCGAGAUUAAAUUCAUAAAUACUACGUAAUUCGGAUGGAUAAAGUUUAAAUCUAAGAGAUAACAGAUCUCCAGAUCAGUUUGUAGAGAAAGGAAACAAGAAGGAUAUGGCUAGUUUCAAGUCAAUAAAUAGCUUAACCUAGGUAAUUAGGUACAUAUUAUUCAUAAUUUACAACAAAAUUUUAACUGCUUAAAGUCAAAGAUGAUAGUUUCUAAUUUGGGCACCGUUUCUGCUUUUAUAUUUGAAAGACAAAUAAUUCUUGUAUGGAUACUUAUAGUGUUCUGAACUGUUUCUUUUCAGAGCUUUAGGUUGCCUUGGUCUUGGUGGUGGUUUGAGAAAGGUUGAAAGUGCUUGAGCUGUUCUAAAUAUAAUAUGCAAGAGAAGAUUCAUGUUGCUUUGGUCUUAUGGCGUGGUGAUGUUUAAAACAGUGAAAAUGCUGUGGGUAUCCAAUAUAUAUGUCAUAAACUUGGAUAGACUCAUAGAUAAGUAAG